rnacentral:lncRNA from 1 species
CAGACGGUUACCAGGGCGGCUUUGGGUGAGGACAUUGAAAAAGGUCAGACUCCCUGGGAGCAGCGCCCUGGACUCCAUUCUCAUCACAGACCAGUGGUUCCCAAUUGAAGUCAGUUUUGCUCCUCAGGGCACACUUAACAACAUCUGGAGACAUUUUUAAUUGUCCUGACCGAGAGGACAAUGCUACUGGCAUCUAGUGGACAGAGGCCAGGGAUACUGCUGAACAUCCCGCAGUGCACAGGACGCCUGCAACACAGAUUAUCCAGCCCCAAACGUCAAUAGUGCCGGAGUUAUGGAACCCUAAUGAAGACAAUUCUUGAAGGCAUAGACUGAAUCUUAUUUAUCUUUGUUUCCCUCAUGUCUCACAAGCAGAGUAUGAGUUCAGCAAAUAGGAGUUGAACAGAAAUCAGGAGGAGGUGCUGAUUGACAGGAAAAAAGAAAGAUUUAGUUUAGAGCUGAGAAUUCAGCUGGACAGCCAUAGGGGCUCUGGCAUGGAGACUGGAAGUCAGAAGAGAAUUUGCAGCAAGACAUUUAGAGCCAUUUAUCCAGCCAUCAUAAUUUUAUUGAGUAACUAUUUUGUGUGAGGCACUGUACUGGAUGCUUUGGCAACAGAGAUAAGCAAGGCAACCCCUGUGAAUAAGGCACUCCUGGUCUACACACAGUGGGAGAAACAUAGAAAUUCAUCUCUUCUGAGCGGAGCCUGUGGGAACCCAGAGGAUGGACACCCAGCGUGGUCUGAGGAAUCAUGGGCCAAAACAGGAGGCAUCAGGAGAGAUCUCUUGGGUAAAGAAGAGUGAGGGCUGGAAGGAUAUUCCAGGCAGUGGGAACAACUUACAUAAAGUGAGAAUAUUGCAAAUGCCUAGCGGGUCUGUAGUGAGAGGGUCAUGAGGCGGAGGAGUGAGGUGCGUAGCAAGGAAUAGCAGGUGGGGCCAGAGCAGUAAAAUUAACCAUUGUUCUAUUUGAAGAAGGGUAGGACGCAUUUUUAGGUUUUUUGGCUAUUUCUCCUUUUGGUAAUAGCAUCUAUUUUCUUUUAAAGGACUCACUUGUACGUGUACACAUUUCUCAGGAGUCCUGUCAACCACUGGGAAGAAAGAGGCUGGACUUCUGCAUUGAACCCAGGAACGGGGUUUCACAGCAAUGGAAACCUGGGGUUAAAUAUCAAUGGAACCUUACAUGACUUGAAGAAUCUUUAAUACAAGCUAGGUUUUGACCCCAAAUUAGACAUUUGGCAGCCUCUCAUUACAGUCUAUCUUGCAAACCUCAGUGUGGCAAGGAAUCAGAUUCACCCACACUCCCUAGUCUAAAGGAUUGUCCUCUGAUCCUUCCAGGUGGAUUAAGCCCUUUCUAAUCUGUCAUGGACAGAGCAAUGUACCUGCCUUUGUUUGUUUUCCUUAAUUCUUUCAAGUGCCUUUGGGUAAUAAAUGGUUGCGUACUCAGGUUUUUAGUCCAAAUUUUUUUUCUUCAACUCUAGGUAAUUGCUUUACUUGCCAGAAUAGGUUACCAUAGCAAUAUUUUCUGAGCAAUAGGUGAACUGAAUUGUACUAUUGAGGAAGCCCAGGAGAAAAAUACUAAUAACAACCUGAGAAAGUCUAAUCACUUUAUGGAGCCUCAGGGCUGUGAAGAGGGGGAUAAGACGGACUCCCUGGGUGAUUAGGAAGUGCUGCUGCCAGCUCACACAGGACGCAAUGUGAGAAGCCACCCAUGGUCCCCAAAUUCCCCCAUCUCCUGAUAUCCAAGUCCCCCAUCCAAGCUGCUUAAAUGACAAAAGACAAAUGUAAACUGGGGAAACAUUUGAAAUGCAUAUCAAAAAGGGGUAUUUCACAAAGCUCUCCAACAGGAGGCCUAGGAAGAUGGUAACAGCGAUACCAGAAUAAUGUUUGGAUCUUCCAGAGUGCCCAUGUGAAAACAGAGCAACCAAACUGAAAAGCCAUGGACAACAAAAGUCGGUGACAAAGUGUCACCUUGAAUCCUGAAAUACAAAUGAGUUCAACUGUCAAAUGGCUCAGGAAACAGCGAAAUCUCCAAUGGACCGUACAGGCAAACACAAGAAACUUGAAAAAGAAAAACAGAGAAAACAAGAAAAUCCUCCAUGACAAGAUCAUCUGGGAGCUGAAAAGCAAUUUGGAUGUAGUGCUUCAUAACACAAAACAUAAGCUCCUUUAAAGCAGUGCAAGUCCCAUUAAGUCUUUGUGAUAUUUUUGCAUUUCUUCACACAUGAUUUAAAAUUCACCUAUUUCCAAAAAGAUGUACAAUGAAAAAAGAAGACAAUAAACAAUAAAAAUAGAGAUAAUUUAUAAAAGUACAACAAAGGAAGGGAAAGAUAUAUGCAAUUAAUAAUUAAAUAUGAGCCACAGUGAGAUACAAGGAACACUGACUGAGAUGGCUAUAAUUUAAAAAGAAAAGAAAAAAUGGAAAAUAACAAAUGUUGCAAGAAUGUGAAGAAAUUGUAACCCUUAUACACUGCUGGGGGAGUGUAACAUGGCACAGCCACAGUGGAAAACAGUUCACCAGUUCAUCAAUAAGUUAAACAUAGAAUUAUCAUAUGACGCAACAAUUCCACUCCAAAGGAAAUGAAAACAGGGACUCCACCAGAUACUUGUAUGUCUAUGUCUUUGCAGCCUUAUUUACAAUAACCAAAAGAUGUAAACAGCCCAAAUGUCCAUCAACAGAUGAAUCCAGAAAUAAAAUGAGGUUUAUAUAUUCCAACGGAAGAUGAAAAGGGAUGAAAUUCUGACACAUGCUACAAGAUGGAUGAACCUUGAAAACACUUUGCUAAGUGAAAAUAGCCAGACACAAGAAGACAAAUACUAUACAAUUUUACUUAAAGUAUCUAGAAUAGGCAAAACUAAUAGAAAAAUAAAGUUAAUUAGAGGUUACCAGGGGUUGGGAGAAGGGAAAAUGAGGAGUUAUGGCUUCAUGGUUAGACAGUUUUUGUUUGAGGUGAUAAAAAAAAGUUUGGGAAUAGUAGUGGUGGUUGCAUAUGUUGUGAAGGUAAUUAAUGCUGCUGAAUUGUACACUUUAAAAUGUUUAAAAUGAUAAAUUUUAUGUUUAUAAAAUGUAAUAUGUAUAUAUGUGUGUAUAUAUAUACAUAUAUAUAUAUGUAAA